rnacentral:rRNA from 1 species
CCUACGGGAGACAGCAGUGAGGAAUAUUGGUCAAUGGGCGCGAGUCUGAACCAGCCAAGCAGCGUGAAGGAUGACGGCUCUACGGGUUGUAAACUUCUUUUGUAAAGGAAUAAAGUGGGGCACGUGUCUCUUUUUGUAUUUACUUUAUGAAUAUGGAUCGGCUAACUCCGUGCCAGCAGCCGCGGUAAUACGGAGGAUGCGAGCGUUAUCCGGAUUUAUUGGGUUUAAAGGGAGCGUAGUUGGGUCGAUAAGUCAGUUGUGAAAGCUUGCGGCUCAACCGUAAAAUUGCAUUUGAUACUGGCGGUCUUGAGUGCAGAAGAGGUAGGCGGAAUUCGUGGUGUAGCGGUGAAAUGCGUAGAUAUAACGAAGAACACCGAUUGCGAAGGCAGCUCACUAAUCUGCCACUGACGCUGAGGCUCGAAAGUGUGGGUAGCAAACAGGAUUAGAUACCCCAGUAGUC